rnacentral:rRNA from 1 species
UACGAAGGGGGCUAGCGUUGUUCGGAAUCACUGGGCGUAAAGCGCACGUAGGCGGAUCUUUAAGUCAGGGGUGAAAUCCCGAGGCUCAACCUCGGAACUGCCUUUGAUACUGGCGAUCUUGAGUCCGGGAGAGGUGAGUGGAACUGCGAGUGUAGAGGUGAAAUUCGUAGAUAUUCGCAAGAACACCAGUGGCGAAGGCGGCUCACUGGCCCGGUACUGACGCUGAGGCACGAAAGCGUGGGGAGCAAACAGGG